UCGCCCUCAGGGGAUGCGAGCUCCUCGACGCAAGGCUGCAGGGGCCGCGCGGGCCUCGUGCUGCUCCUGCUCCUCGAGGAUAGGGGCGGCGAGCUCCUCGAUGGAGGGCUGCAGGGGCCGCAGCCCGCGGGGACCUCGGCACCUCGCCCUGCUCCUGCACGCUCCCGGUCUACCAUAGAUCUGCAUCCACCAUCACCAGAUCUGCCCAUCUCUCCAACCUCACUGGGUCACCACAGCCUCCAAGCUCGUCAUCUUAAGCGACCUUGUGAAGAGAUUGUGCAGUGUUUGACGAACUAGUAGAGGAUCUCACCUGGAAGGUCGCCAAAUGAAAGCAAGGUAUCGAGUUUCUUCCUCUUCCAGUUCACAAGUAUUUCACUGAUUCACAAAUUUGUAUGCUUUUGAUUUUUAGUUUA